rnacentral:rRNA from 1 species
GAUAAACGCUGGCGGCGCACAUAAGACAUGCAAGUCGAACGGAAGUCGUUAUAAAAAGGAUUGAAGAUUUAUCUGAUUGAGAUUUUAUAACAAUGGCUUUAGUGGCGGACUGGUGAGUAACGCGUGAGCAACCUGCCUACUAGAGGGGAAUAACAGUGAGAAAUCAUUGCUAAUACCGCAUAUGCCAUGAACAUCACAUGAUGAAAAUGGGAAAAGAGUAAUCUGCUAGUAGAUGGGCUCGCGUCUGAUUAGAUAGUUGGUGGGGCAACGGCCUACCAAGUCGACGAUCAGUAGCCGGACUGAGAGGUUGAACGGCCACAUUGGGACUGAGAUACGGCCCAGACUCCUACGGGAGGCAGCAGUCGGGAAUAUUGCGCAAUGGAGGAAACUCUGACGCAGUGACGCCGCGUAUAGGAAGAAGGUUUUCGGAUUGUAAACUAUUGCGUUAGGGAAGAUACAAGACAGUACCUAAGGAGGAAGCU